CGAUUUUGGCUUUACACCAGAGUGCUGCAUGACGUUUGGUCAAUACAUUUUGCAUUUGCAAUGGGCCAACGGUUUUUUGAGGUUGUUUGUGUUUUGUAGUUUGUAAUUUUUGUGAUUUUAUCCAGGAAAUAUAGGAGCUUUGGUGAUGAAAUUUUCAAACACAAAAGAAAAAGACAUAGAAGCAGUAUGGUAAUCAAAUACUGGCUGAAGUCUCCAAAAACUUGGUUUACCAGCAAAGAGAAAUCUAAACCAAAGUGGGAAUAGAACUGCAGAUACAUAUUAUACUAAAAUCCACCAUGAAAGACGAAUAUGAUGCCAACUAGUUGGAUUAGAUUUGAAAAAAAGUUCUUCUCCUUUCUACAUCUGAUGAAAGCCAUUUUCAGUGGGAAUAGAACUGCAGACGCAUAUACUAAAAUCCACCAUGACAGACGAAUAUGCUGCCAAACUACAGUUGGAUUGGAUUUAAAACUCCUUUCUACAUCUGAUGGAAACCAUUUUUAGUAAGUUGCACUCUACUAUUUCCUUCAAGAAUCAAUUCUUUCACCAUUCCUAAACAACUUACUUUACAACAUCAAAAACAACU